rnacentral:rRNA from 1 species
AUUGAACGCUGGCGGCAGGCCUAACACAUGCAAGUCGAGCGGAGCGGCGGACGGGGGAGUAAUGCCUAUGACUCUGCCUGGUAGUGGGGGAGGACGUCCGGUACUGGGCGCUAAUACCGCUUACUCUCUGAUGCGCCUGGGUCGGAUUAGCUAGUGGGUGGGGUAAGGGCAUAGCAAGGCGACGAUCCGUAACUGGUCUGAGAGGAUGAGCAGUCACACUGGAACGGAGACACGGUCCAGACUCCUACGGGAGGCAGUAGUGGGGAAUAUUGGACAAUGGGCGAAAGCCUGAUGCAGCCAUGCCGCGUGUGUGAAGAAGGUCUUCGGAUUGUAAAGCACUUUAAGUUGGGAGGCGUUACCAACAGAAUAAGCACCGGCUAACUUCGUGCCAGCAGCCGCGGUAAUAC